rnacentral:lncRNA from 1 species
CCUUUUGCGUGGGAGAUUGCCUGAAACGCAGUCGUGGUCCAGCCAGUUUAUGAAUUGGAGCAAUUUUUGGAGCAGGAAAAAAGCUGUUUUGUUGCAAUUUAGGAGCAGCCACACUGGCAUUUUGUAGCAGUUCUGUAGCACAAAAUUUUGCGUUUUGGAUCAGUUGGAGCAGAAGAAAAGCAAGUGCAUGACAUUUGGUGCAGCUUAUUACUACUACACAAUUGUUAAGUACUUCUUUAGAGCAAAUGGACACAAGCAAGACAGACUGAUGCAGCCAUAUAGCUUGCGUGCCCAGAGCAGAAAACGUUGCAAACAGACUUUAUUUGCCUAUGUAAAUAGCACUUGUAGACUACUGAGAAUAGUUUUGUGCAAUCAGACAUAAUACAAAAGCGACUAGAAAUGCAGAAAAACAAUUUUGUGCAACAACAGUGCCUAGCCGCGCGCCUGAGGAGUCGACGCUCGAUGUGCUUAGACGUGCAGUCCCAAGUGACGAUGCGUGAAAUGCCUAUCGGCGGGCCGAGGAGUCGACGCUCGAUGUGCUUAGUCGCGCAGUCCCAAGUGCCGGUGUACGAAAUGCCCAGCCGCGGGCCGAGGAGUUGACGCUCUAUAUGCUUAGUCACGCAGUCCCAAGUGCCGA